GAUGAACGCUGGCUGUGUGCCUAAUACAUGCAUGUCGAGCGGAAGUAGCAAUACUUUAGCGGCGAGUGGGUGAGUAACACGUGCUUAAUCUACCUCUUAGAUUGGAAUACCUAAUGGAAACAUUGGUUAAUGCCGGAUACGCAUGGAGUCGCAUGACUCCGUUGUGAAAGGGGCCUUUAAAGCUCCACUAAGAGAUGAGGGUGCGGAACAUUAGCUAGUUGGUGAGGUAACGGCCCACCAAGGCUAUGAUGUUUAGCCGGGUCGAGAGACUGAACGGCCACAUUGGGACUGAGAUACGGCCCAAACUCCUACGGGAGGCAGCAGUAGGGAAUAUUCCACAAUGAGCGAAAGCUUGAUGGAGCGACACAGCGUGCACGAUGAAGGUCUUAUGGAUUGUAAAGUGCUGUUGCAAGGGAAGAAAAAGUAGUUGAGGAAAUGCUUCUACAUUGACGGUACCUUGUUAGAAAGCGAUGGCUAACUAUGUGCCAGCAGCCGCGGUAAUACAUAGGUCGCAAGCGUUAUCCGGAAUUAUUGGGCGUAAAGCGUUCGUAGGCUGUUUAUUAAGUCUGGAGUCAAAUCCCAGGGCUCAACCCUGGCUCGCUUUGGAUACUGGUAAACUAGAGUUGGAUAGAGGUAAGCGGAAUUCCAUGUGAAGCGGUGAAAUGCGUAGAUAUAUGGAAGAACACCAAAGGCGAAGGCAGCUUACUGGGUUUAUACUGACGCUGAGGAACGAAAGCGUGGGGAGCAAACAGG
rnacentral:rRNA from 1 species